CUCAGCACUUCAUUCACUUUUUAAAAAAAUGUCCACUCUAAGGUACUUAGUUUGGGUUUUGUUUGUUUUUAGGAAAUGAUUUAUCAUUGUGUCUCAUUUUUAAGAGUUAUUGUUUUACACAGCUCAGGACAUACCAUAAUAGAAGAUCAUCUAAAAUGGUUACAUACAUAACAAAGUGAUCCAUGUUGAUUGCGCAUCUAACAUUUGAUAUGAUGUGUCAUACUAUAGAAGUAGCACUAACUUUUUAUUAUCCCAAUAAAAGUUUAACUUAUGAUGCUCAUGUGUUGAUAGAUUUCAUAAACUAUCUUAAAGUAUCAGAUAACCUAGGUUAUUUUCAAAUUUGCUCAAGUAAGGGAACCUCUUUUAGGAUCUAAACCACACACAAGUUUCAAAUACAAGAAACAUAAUAUGGACCCUUCUAGACCUAGUGCCCAGAAACUUUAUUCUCUGGGCCACAGAAUACCAUUUCAUUAAGCAACAUUCAGCUAAGUUAGCCAGUUCCCCCGAUUUUCUCUGAAACAAUCAGUUAAUGAAAGAACAAAAUUUGAAAGCCUAAAGUAUUUCUGGAGUUCUUUUAUAUAUCUUUCACUCUGAACGUGCUGGCAACCUACUAGUUCUAAAGGAAAUCAACACUGGGCUCAGUUUGUCUCUGGCUGCUUAUUAUAGCAUUUGUGCUUUUUAAAUUUUUAUGCUGGAUAUUGAAUUAAAGAUGGGUGCAUAUAUGAAGAGUAUGCUUUUUGAAGAUAUGUUCAUAUUUCAAGUGUUUAUAUAGUCCUAAAAUUUAAUGUAUCACUUCAGAAAUAUUAAGCAUAAAUAUGAUGGGUGUAAUUCAUUAUAUAGAGCUGCAAUGUUAAAUAUGUAGUGAAACGUUGUUCUGAAUGUAUGCAUUAACCUCUGUCCUUACAGAACAUAGCAAAUGUAGCUUUUUAACCUAACUGUAUUCUUUCCUCCAAUAAAAUAUUAUUCAUUAUUUUGA
rnacentral:lncRNA from 1 species